UGCGAUGAGGAUGAGAUUCACAUUAUGAUCUCGUUAAUCCGAUGGUUCUCUGUGAGGACAAUCUCUCUAUCCAUUCAUUCAUUUCAUUGAGC